rnacentral:misc_RNA from 1 species
UACGGAGGGUGCAAGCGUUAAUCGGAUUUACUGGGCGUAAAGGGUGCGUAGGCGGAUUAGUAAGUCAAAUGUGAAAUUCCGGUACUCAAUACCGGAGCUGCAUUUGAAACUGCUUGUCUAGAGGGUAGACGGAGAAAAUAGAAUUCCGUGUGUAGCGGUGAAAUGCGUAGAUAUACGGAAGAAUACCUGUGGCGAAAGCGAUUUUCUAGUUUACUUCUGACGCUGAGGCACGAGAGCGUGGGUAGCAAACAGG